UACGUAGGGGGCAAGCGUUGUCCGGAAUCAUUGGGCGUAAAGCGCGUGUAGGCGGUUCGAUAAGUCUGCUGUGAAAGUCCAGGGCUCAACCCUGGAAAGCCGGUGGAUACUGUCGGACUAGAGUGCGGAAGAGGCGAGUGGAAUUCCCGGUGUAGCGGUGAAAUGCGCAGAUAUCGGGAGGAACACCAAUUGCGAAGGCAGCUCGCUGGGACGUUACUGACGCUGAGACGCGAAAGCGUGGGGAGCAAACGGG
rnacentral:rRNA from 1 species